rnacentral:rRNA from 1 species
UGGGGAAUCUUGGGCAAUGGGCGAAAGCCUGACCCAGCGACGCCGCGUGGGGGACGAAGGCCUUCGGGUCGUAAACCCCUGUUCUGGGGGAAGAACCAGGUUGUAGCGAAUAGCUAUGGCCUGCUGACGGUACCCCAGGAGAAAGCCACGGCUAACUGCGUGCCAGCAGCCGCGGUAAUACGCAGGUGGCAAGCGUUGCCCGGAAUCACUGGGCGUAAAGGGUGCGUAGGCGGCAAGGCAAGUCGCAGGUCAAAGCCCGGGGCUCAACCCCGGAAGGGCCUGCGAUACUGCUUUGCUUGAGGGCCGGAGAGGCUGGCGGAAUUCCCGGUGUAGGGGUGAAAUCCGUAGAUAUCGGGAGGAACACCGGUGGGGAAGCCUGCCAGCUGGACGGUUCCUGACGCUGAGGCACGAAAGCGUGGGGAGCAAACCGGAUUAGAUACCCGGGUAGUCCACGCCGUAAACGAUGGGUGCUAGGUCUGGGGAGGAAACUCUCUGGGCCGCAGCUAACGCGUUAAGCACCCCGCCUGGGGA